rnacentral:rRNA from 1 species
GAUUAUGGCUCAGGAUGAACGCUGGCGGCGUGCCUAACACAUGCAAGUCGAACGGUGAAAGGGGACGGAACCCUCCGGGGGAAGUAACCUGGAACAGUGACGGACGGGUGAGUAACGCGUGGAUAACCUGCCUCAUACAGGGGGAUAACAGAGAGAAAUCACUGCUAAUACCGCAUAAGCGCACGAGGGCCGCAUGGCCCGGUGUGAAAAAACUCCGGUGGUAUGAGAUGGAUCCGCGUCCGAUUAGCCAGUUGGCGGGGUAAAGGCCCACCAAAGCAACGAUCGGUAGCCGGCCUGAGAGGGCGGACGGCCACAUUGGGACUGAGACACGGCCCAGACUCCUACGGGAGGCAGCAGUGGGGGAUAUUGCACAAUGGGGGGAACCCUGAUGCAAGCGACGCCGCGUGGGUGAAGAAGUAUUUCGGUAUGUAAAGCCCUAUCAGCAGGGACGAUAAUGACGGUACCUGAGUAAGAAGCCCCGGCUAACUACGUGCCAGCAGCAGC